CAGAAUGCAAGAUGCCAAACCGUUGUUAGUUAAAGCCCCGGAUGUAACACUCCCAAAUUAUGAGCUCUAUCACGUAACUACUAUUUAUCAAAAUGCUCCUUCUGAUUACCUGACCCUGUCGAUAUGCACUUGAUUGUUCUGCUUUUCGCCUCUUGGAAUUGCGGCGAUAAUAUAUUCAUGUUUGACACGAAACAUGUUUCAUCGCGGAAACAUUUAUGAAGGUCUUGACGCCGCUCGAAUCGCCCGCAUUUUGAGCUUGUGAGAAUUGCGAUAGGCGUAAUCAUCAUGGUUGGAGUGACUAUUGCCGUGAUUGCUAUUGUCUCUUCCACUCCUCCCAACAACUACAACAAUUAGUAGCGUCGUGCGAUUACUUAAAUGGUUAGGACCGUUGAGGCCCGGAUAUAACUUUUUUUGUUCUAUUAGUUUUUGUGACAGUAUUAUGCAGGUGUGUA